AGGUGCCAUCGGCGACGGUGGAGAAUUGGGAAGCUGGUGCGAAGCCAGAGCUGCCCCCGCAACGGUGACGGUAGAAGGCGCGACAAGACCACUGGGAGGAGCCUGGGAAGGUGUCGCGCCGGGGCCCGCAAAGCCCUCUUCCGCAAGCCCGGAAACCAGCCUUGCGA
rnacentral:ncRNA from 1 species